CUGGCCGGGAGGCGGCGGGUCUCGAUCGCGCGGGCCUCCCUGGAGGGGCGCGGGCUCUGGCGGCGGGGAGGCCCCUGCUCAGCGCAAUGGCGGGCUUGCAUCCUUGGGUGAUUUUUUCGGGCCCCUUGUGGCCUUUGCUCACGCCUAGAGAGCAAACCACCCGCACCACCCAGGAGCAGAUAAAAUCGAGACCACAGCCUCCAAGGGAGCGCGCCUCCAUCCUGUUUGCCCCUCGGGUCGCCGUCUGAGGGCGGGCCCGUGCCCGCUCAGAGCCUACAUCCGAGUCGUAUAAAGCGCUGACAGCAGAGAAAGCUGCGGCUUUGCUCCGUGCAGAUGAGCAGGGGCUGAGGGAGGACGCUGUGCUCUCAGUAGCCGCGCUUGGCCCGGGGACCCUGCAGGCUUAGAAACGUGAGUCACGCCUGCAGCGUGGCGAGGAAACGCCGUUGAUGUGGCAUCCUCAGCCUGGGGUUGUGGCUUUAAGCCAGAAGGUCAAAAAAAGAAGUCUUCCUGAGCUGAGACUGCCCUGAGUCGCUUUAGGGGCGAAAUUCCGAGCAUCCGGUUGCAUUUCCUGAGGAUGACACGCGUGGUGGGUGUGGACGGCCUACAGGGGUCCAUCCUCAGCGGCCCCUCUGCAGGGCAGUCUCGCUCUCACUCUCCCAGCUGACUCCUCUCAAGCCUGUUAACCAUUGUACACGUUCCCAAGGACUCCAAGCAGCAGGGAGUGUGGGUGUGGCAGCAACCCAGCAUCUACCAUGCCGACCAUGUGCCAUGCCAUGCACCGCGUGUCGUAACAGGACAACAGAGCAAGAGACCCAGCAGACAGGGGUCCCCAGCAACCUCAUGAAGCGCCAUCCACUCACCUCCAGACAGUCUGGGGAGAGAGACUGAAACUUCUGUCUAA
rnacentral:lncRNA from 10 species